UUCAACAAACAUUUAAGGUAGCAUCUGUAGGAAGAUACUGACCUACGUAGGGAGAGGAUAACUGAGAGGGCUUGCCGUUCCUCUGGGGGCAAGAGAAGAAUGUAAAUUUAAGUGGUUCAGGGUAGAUGGGCCAGACGCACGCUAUAGAGUUCUCCUGUGUCCAGCCUACGGCCUCCGAUUUCUAGACGUGAGUUUGUGUCAUGGCCCUCAAGGCCCCUCGCUCCAGCUCAGGAGAUCAAGGAGUCCUCUGGGGAGGAGAGGCUUUGGUGAGGUGAUCACAGGUCUGGGAUUCAUUCCAACUCCCCAAAGUCACCACCAGAGCACAUCGUGCUUACUGACCUGCACCAUGAGAGAGAGCUCAAGAUGGGAACGUGGAGGGGCUCUGACAAAGCCGAGGAAUAGAGCCACCUUGAACAACGUGUCAUGGCCUGGACAAAUGCCCUGGGAUGACCUGAGGGUGCCCUUAGUGUCCCAGGAGGGUGGCGGACUCAGACAGUGAAACAGAAAACCCACGUCACACUCUUCCCGGAGCCCGGGCCCUCUCCUGCACCUGCGGCCCUGCGUGCCGGAACUGCCCUGCACUGACAGCCAUCUCCAGACUCAGCAGCAACCUCAGGAGGGCCGGCUGCAGGGCAGCAGCAGGGGUAUGCUGCCUCCCCAGAAGGACCCACGGGCACUGGACGCCAGCCAUUGAGGCCCCGCGCUCACACCUCCGCAGGCGCGCUCAGCCAGCUUCACCAGCGGCUCCCCGCAGCCGCCACCCACAACCCAGGCUCUCAGCAAAGACCUGAGCCAAUGUGGAGGAGACCCAGGGGAGGGCUGGGUUACUAAUGCCACCCGGCCGGCUGCCAGCACAGGCUGGCAAGAAGAGAGGCACAUUCUUCUCUAACAAGCAGCAACCAAUGGUCACCAUGCUUCCCGGGCUCCAGGCCGGCACCGGGGAGCAGGCUGACCUGGGAGCGCACGAUGCUUAUCUUAGCAUGCAGUGGUGGCAGCAGAGACAUGAAGACUGAGUUUCAGAAAGAAUAAACAGCUCGCCCAUGAUUCUGAGUUAGUAUGUGGCGAAGAGUGAUCUGUCCCCCAUACCACAAUAAGGGGACACAGCAUGAAGUUCUCCAGGGGAAGGCAUCUCUGUGUUCCACCAGGACAAGGAGCCCCCAUCUGUCUCCACGUGACCUCCCAGAGAAGGAGCAGGUUCACAAUGUCUGCAGGGGUUGUGAGCCAGUGUUUCUAAGGUGGAGCUGGGUAAGAUGUCAUAAAAACCGUAGGACCUGACCUUGGAAGCUAAACAGCAACACAGCCAGGAUUUGAACCCAAGCCUGUACGGCUCUGAGUGCUAUCCACUGUGCCCUCCCUGUGGUCAGAGCUGUGGAAAUUCUCCAAAGCCUACACCAACAGAUGCUUCUACUAUUUCCCUGCUGCCACUUUCAAAAUACAAAACCAUUCUUGGCUCAAAGGCAAUAUAAAAACAUGUGGCCAGCUCUGGUUUGCCAAUCCCUGGCUUAAAAGCUUAAGCGGCGACACCUACUUGGUAAGAUGUUCCACAGCUCCCAAACUGACCAUCAGGAGGUCUAUGUUGGAAAGAUGACGUUGAAUGAGAAAUGUGGACGAUAUUUUAAAUAUGACGCCGAGUCAUAUGAUUCAAGGUGGAGAGGUGGAGCCAUGGAUAAAGCAAGUAUGCAGGCGGAAAAUAGAAGGAGCUCAUGACUGAAGGUGCUAUACCCGGUGGUCAAAUAGCAGGUAAAAUAUCCAGAAUGUUCAUCAAGAAUCCUUUGAAGGAACACUGCCCACUUAUCACCGUCCUGAAAAAAUUUCUGGUUGAAGAUGAAGGCCACGCCACUAAUCUCUUCUACCUUGGCCUCAGCUGUGCUAUUUCUGUUUAUGAAGUUGGCAGUGAUGGCAAUAGCCAGCUUCCCACGGAACUCCUUUCUCCUGAACCCUGUGAGGGGAGAGAGACAACUGAGUCAGUCUUCUGGGUUUGGCAUGAACACUGAAAGUCAUUACUGAGAAAGGCCUUCUCAGUGCCCGCAGGCCAGUGAAACCAGGCCUGUAGGCCUCUGGAGGCCAGGAGUCUGCAGAAAUGACUGGUUUGCUCCCAAGAGGAAGCAACAUGUCACCAGAGGCUUGCAAAGUCAGUGGGACUCUGUCCCUCCCUAAAACCUGUGCGACCAAUACCCUGGUGAGUUAGGCUUGGCAAAUGGCCCAAGUGAUCUUCUCCAGCAGGCGACUAGUCACAGAGCUCACCCUUCUACAGAGACGCUCCCCUACUCCAGUAUGAUUGAUGUUCUUAUAGACACGGGAAAGCAGGGCACACUUGUGCCCAGAGAGAGACAGAUUGUCCUGUGAAGAUGAAGAUUAGGUGUGCUUCUAUAACCCAAGGAACACCGAGACUGAAGCAAACACCAGCAGCUCAGAGAGGGGCAGGAAACCCAUUCUUCCCACAGUCCUCAAAAGGAAUGAACCCUGGGGACAACUUGAUGGUGGACUUCCAGCCUCCAUAACUAUGAGACAAUAGCAUGCAGUUUGUGGUACUUCAUUAGAACAGCCCCCAGAAACUAAUACACUGAUUCCUAGUAACAGGUACUUAGUACAUAUCGAAUAAAUGUAUAAUGAAUAGACAGAAUUCUAACUUGCAUAAUUUAGUACUCUAAUUCCUUAGGGUUCUUAUUAAUUUUUACUUUUUUGUUUAAAUUGACACAAAAUAAUUGUACAUGCUUAUGGCAUACAAUGUGGUACUUGAUACAUGUAUGUAAUAAGCAAUAAUCAAAUCAGGGUAAUUAGCACAUCUCCUCAAACAUUCAUUAUUUCUUUAGGCAGAGACCAUUCAAAAUUCCCUCUUCUAGCUAUCUAAGAAAAAUAUUCUUAGUUGUAGAUGUACACAAUACCUUUAUUUUGUUUAUUUAGUUUUUUUUAAUGUGGUGCUGGGGAUCGAACCCAGGGCCUCACACAUGCUAGGCAAGCACUCUCCUGCUGAGCCCCAGCCCCAGCCCCAGCCCUCUUCUAGCUAUCCUGAAACGUUUAUCACAGCCAACUGUGCAGUGGGACAUAGGAGUACAUCCUCAGGGGGCUUGGCUUUCAAUGGCUUAUAUGAACAUUUAUUUUGAUUGGCAGUGAUGCGGGAUCACAGCAGGUGGUCACAUCUCAAUGGAGCCUUCUCCUGACCUUCCUUUUUCUAGGCAUCUGUGGUCCUGAAUUCUCCCACUCCUGCCCCAGACAUGCUGCUUACCUGCUUGAUUCCAGGCCCCAGUACCUAUGGUUUGAAUGUGUCCCCUGAAUUCCUGUGUUGGAAGCUUAAUCCCCAAAUUCAUAUGUCAUGGUAGUUGGAGAGGGACCUUAGGGAAAUGAUUGUGUCCAAGUGUUCUGCCCUCAAGAUUGGAUUCAUUCACUCAUGAAUUCAUGGAUUAAUGGGCCAUCUCAGGUGUGGCUUUGUUGUAAAAGGGAGCUCUCUUGGCAAGCUUGUUCUAUGUUGCCUGGGGAUGCCCUCUGUCAUGUUAUGAUGCAGCAAGAAAGCCCUCACCAGAUGCUGGUGCCAGUCUUUUGGACUUCUAACUUCCAGAAUCAUGAGCUAAAUAAACCUUUAUUCUUAAUAAAUUUCCCAGACUCAGAUAUUCUAUUAUAGCAUCAGAAAACAGACUAAGACACUAGUCAUACAGGUACAGACCUGCUCAGCAUAACCUUGGGAAU